GCAGACUGAAAAUGAUCCCAGAUGUGUCAGUGGUCUGGGGUCAGAUAACUGUGCCUAAAGUAAUGCGGUGCAUCAAACUUGCCGUGUUUGUCUCAUAGUGACGAAUGUGAUAAACGUUAUGCACCAACAUGU